rnacentral:rRNA from 1 species
GACGUAGGGGGCCAGCGUUGUUUGGAAUUACUGGGUGUAAAGGGUUCGUAGGCGGUGUGGCAAGUCGGGAGUGAAAUCUCUGGGCUCAACCCAGAGUCUGCUUCCGAAACUGCUGUGCUUGAGUGUGGGAGAGGCGCGUGGAAUUGCAGGUGUAGCGGUGAAAUGCGUAGAUAUCUGCAGGAACACCCGUGGCGAAAGCGGCGCGCUGGACCACUACUGACGCUGAGGAACGAAAGCUAGGGGAGCAAACAGG